rnacentral:lncRNA from 10 species
GCCGGGUGUGGUGGCUCACGCCUGUAAUUCCAGCACUUUGGGAGGCCGAGGCGGGGUGAUCACCUGAGGUCAGGUCAGGGUUCAAGACCAGCCUGACAAACAUAGUGAAACUCCGUCUCUACUCAAAAUAGAAAAAAUUAGCUGGGCAUGGUGGCAGGCGCCUGUAAUCACAGCUACUCAGGAGGCUGAGGCAGGAGAAUCGCUUGAACCCACCACACCUGGCUAAUUUUUGUAUUUUUAGUAGAGACCGGGUUUCACCACGUUGGUCAGGCUGGUCUUGAACCCCUGACCUCAGGUGAUCUGCCUGC